GGCGCUGCUGCUGCUUCCGUGAUUCUGAAGAAGAACGUGACGCAUGCGCAGUGGCUCUUGUUGACAUUAGCUUUUCCGCAGUUAAAAUCGUAACAGUUUCCUGCGAAUUUCAUCUUCAAAUCACCAAAACAGCGGCCCAGACACAUGGACGUCAUGGAGCAGUGGACCGUCUCCUCCCUGUUGUCUCUUCUGCCGCGGGGCCUGGCUGUUGGACCCUCCCUGUCCUGUGGGGGCGCUCUCGCCUGUGGUGGGUGGGGCUUCCUCUGGAGGCGGGGUCUGAGCUGCCAAGAGGGCGGGACACACACCAGGACUCCAUCAAUCACACGAAGGGAAGAGCCAAUGAGAAAUCUACAACUCCACCUCCUCUGUUCCUUCGUUUUGCCUGUCAGGCUCAGCGUGGCUCCCGGCACAACCUCUCAGUCCAAACUCAGGGCCAAAGAGUCCGAGCCGCGAGGACCAUUCAGACCGGGGCCGAACUCCUGCUGGAAUCCGCCACAAAACCAGAUCCAGUCACACUUGGACACUCUGAGAGCGAACAUGAGACUGAAACGUUAUCACCUCCUGAAGAGAAACCAUAUGCACAAAUACCAG
rnacentral:lncRNA from 1 species